GACAGAGGGUGCAAACGUUGUUCGGAAUUACUGGGCGUAAAGCGCGUGUAGGCGGCCCGGAAAGUCGGAUGUGAAAGCCCUGGGCUUAACCUAGGAAGUGCAUUCGAAACUCCCGGGCUGGAGUUCUGGAGAGGAAGGCGGAAUUCUCGGUGUAGAGGUGAAAUUCGUAGAUAUCGAGAGGAACACCGGUGGCGAAGGCGGCCUUCUGGACAGUGACUGACGCUGAGACGCGAAAGCGUGGGGAGCAAACAGG
rnacentral:rRNA from 1 species